GCCAUUCUAGCAUGCCAUAUGUUUACGUAAUAAUCCCACCUCAGCCAAUCGAACCCAAUCGAAUACUCAAUCUAAUCUUACUAAAUUCUAUUUUGAAUAGAACUAAUCUUAGUGAAUUCAUAUGACUAUUUUAAUUAGCAUGAAUGAACCAACCCCCUUGCCGCUAUCUAAGUUCUUCAAUGUUAGAAUUUGACGCUUCGAGAUUUGAUUCAUAUUGAGCCCACAACGAGAUUCGCGGCGAAAAAUAGAGUCCAACGAGACCAAGAUCACCCC
rnacentral:lncRNA from 1 species